UCCAACGUGAAAGGUUCCUUCGGGGAACGAGUAGCGUGGCGAACGGGUGAGUAUCGCGAGGGUGACCUACCCUUUGGCGGGGGAUAAGCCGGGGAAACCCGGUCCAAUACCGAAUAACUCUCUUCAGAGAGAAAGCUUUCUAGCACCGAAGGAGGGGCCCGCGUCCGAUUAGCUGGUUGGGGAGGUAAGGGCUCACCAAGGUAACAACCGGUAACCGGGCUGAAAGGACGGGCGGACACACUGGGACUGAAACACGGCCCAGACUCCUACGGGAGGCUAGCAGUGGGGAAUCUUGGGCAAUGGGCGAAAGCCUGACCCAGCGACGCCGCGUGGAGGACGAAGGCCCUCGGGUCGUAAACUCCUGUUCUUGGGGAAGAGAAUGACGGGACCCAUGGAGCAUGCCCCGGCUAACUCCGUGCCAGCAGCCGCGGAAAUACGGGGGGGGCAAGCGUUGCUCGGAAUUGCUGGGCGUAAAGGGCUGCGUACGCGGUUUCGGAAGUCUGAGGUGAAAGUCCCCGGCUCAACCGGGGGAGGACCUCAGAAACCACGGAGCUUGAGAGCUGGAGAGGGAAGCGGAAUUCCCGGUGGAGCGGUGAAAUGCUGACAUAUCAGGAGGAACAUCGGAUGAUAAUGCGGCUUCCUGGAGAGCAUCUGACGCUUAGGUGCGAAAGCUAUGAGAGCGAACGACAUUAGAUACCCCGG
rnacentral:rRNA from 1 species